AUUGAACGCUGGCGGCAGGCCUAACACAUGCAAGUCGAACGGUAGCACAGAGAGCUUGCUCUCGGGUGACGAGUGGCGGACGGGUGAGUAACGUCUGGGAAACUGCCCGAUGGAGGGGGAUAACUACUGGAAACGGUAGCUAAUACCGCAUAACGUCGCAAGACCAAAGUGGGGGACCUUCGGGCCUCACACCAUCGGAUGUGCCCAGAUGGGAUUAGCUAGUAGGUGGGGUAAUGGCUCACCUUGGCGACGAGCCCUAGCUGGUCUGAGAGGAUGACCAGCCACACUGGAACUGAGACACGGUCCAGACUCCUACGGGAGGCAGCAGUGGGGAAUAUUGCACAAUGGGCGCAAGCCUGAUGCAGCCAUGCCGCGUGUAUGAAGAAGGCCUUCGGGUUGUAAAGUACUUUCAGCGGGGAGGAAGGCGGUGAAGUUAAUAACUUCACCGAUUGACGUUACCCGCAGAAGAAGCACCGGCUAACUCCGUGCCAGCCGCCGCUGUAA
rnacentral:rRNA from 1 species